UAGGGAAUCUUCGGCAAUGGGGGCAACCCUGACCGAGCAACGCCGCGUGAGUGAAGAAGGUUUUCGGAUCGUAAAGCUCUGUUGUAAGAGAAGAACGAGUGUGAGAGUGGAAAGUUCACGCUGUGACGGUAUCUUACCAGAAAGGGACGGCUAACUACGUGCCAGCAGCCGCGGUAAUACGUAGGUCCCGAGCGCUAUCCGGAUUUAUUGGGCGUAAAGCGAGCGCAGGCGGUUAGAUAAGUCUGAAGUUAAAGGCUGUGGCUUAACCAUAGUACGCUUUGGAAACUGUUUAACUUGAGUGCAGAAGGGGAGAGUGGAAUUCCAUGUGUAGCGGUGAAAUGCGUAGAUAUAUGGAGGAACACCGGUGGCGAAAGCGGCUCUCUGGUCUGUAACUGACGCUGAGGCUCGAAAGCGUGGGGAGCAAACAGGAUUAGAUACCCUGGUAGUCCACGCCGUAAACGAUGAGUGCUAGGUGUUGGGUCCUUUCCGGGACUCAGUGCCGCAGCUAACGCAUUAAGCACUCCGCCUGGGGAGUACGACCGCAAGGUUG
rnacentral:rRNA from 1 species